rnacentral:lncRNA from 1 species
UUGUAAGAUGAGAAAACUGAGUCAAACAAAGGUGACCUCAUUCCCAAGGUCAUCAGCUAAUAAUAGUGGAGCCAGGACUUGAACCCAGGGCCUUUGACUCAGAACCCCACGCUCUCAGUCCCUUCCCUGUAUUGUCUUCUUGCUGACAGAGCCCUGUAGGGCAGAUGAAGCCACCUACACACCACCUCCCAGCCUUUGCCCUGACCGUUCCUUUGCCUUGAAUGGCAAUCUCUUCUCUGCCUCUGCAAAUUAUAACCUGCCGAGGAAACAUCCCGCUCCUUCUGGGCUCUUGCAGACCUCACGGCGACCUCUGACUGUUACCCCUCAGAGUCUUGGAUCCUACAUCUGUAAAAUGGGAGUGAUGAGACGUUCCUCGUGGCACAGAGCUGAAGAGCAGGUCCCAAGUCCUUCUUCUGUGCUAAGGACUGCAACAUGUGUGGGAUGCAGAGAUGCAUUUAAUAAACAUUUAUUGAGCAUGUACUAUGUGCUGGGCACUGUUUAAAGCUGUGGGAAUAUAUUCAUGAAUUAAAAACCGGGCCAAAAUACCCAUCCACUCUAGUAUAAAGAAAAUAGAGUUGCUGUCCUCGAGGAGUUUAGAAACAGAGAUGGGUAAACGAAUCAUAGCAUAAGGUGUCACAGGUGCAAGGAGCAGAGAAGGAAAAAGGCAACAGGCAUGGGGAUAGGUGGGCGGGGUUUCAAGAGAAGCGUCAUAAAGGAGGUCACAUCUAAGCUGAAGUGAGGGGCUGUCAAAUCCUCACCUGCACUAUACACAGAGAUGCUUGGGAAAGAUGCUGGGCUUUGGCUAAUAGUGGAAUUCUCAACUCAUAAAAGGGAAGUUUCAAAGUUGGGGACUUGUGCUGCCAUAACAGAUGAAUUUCUGUGUUAACUUGAGGAGAUAAUAAAAAUUUUAAUUAAACAUCUGCUGGGUUACAAAAGGCAGCCUCAUGAAAAAG